UACGGGGGGGGCAAGCGUUGUUCGGAAUUACUGGGCGUAAAGGGCUCGUAGGUGGCCAACUAAGUCAGACGUGAAAUCCCUCAGCUUAACUGGGGAACUGCGUCUGAUACUGGAUGGCUUGAGUUCGGUAGGGGAGACUGGAAUUCCUGGUGUAGCGGUGAAAUGCGUAGAGAUCAGGAAGAACACCAGUGGCGAAGGCGCUCUGCUAGGCCGUAACUGACACUGAGGGACGAAAGCUAGGGGAGCGAAUGGG
rnacentral:rRNA from 1 species